GGUCAGAAGGGUAGGCAAGAGCAAUCUAGUGGGUCUGUUUCCUUGCAGAUUCUUGCAGUGUCCAUUGUUGCCUCCUUCGCCUCCCUCCCUGAACCUUUUUGUAGUUGCAGUCUGGGCGGCGGUUCUCUAGACUUGUAAUCCUUUCAUGCCAUUGAUAAAAGUUUUAUUUUCACAGUUUCAUGUCUGAGUUUAUUGUAUGGACUUUCUCUGUGCGGCUUCUCUUGUCCACUAUUGGCACGAAUUGGUGGCUCCUUUGUGCAGGUGAUAUUGGAACACGGCACAGGUUUGGUGCAGCAAAAGGUUAGGUCCAUGAUAAAGCGGUCCCCUUGC
rnacentral:lncRNA from 1 species